rnacentral:rRNA from 1 species
UACGUAGGGGCCUAGCGUUGUCCGGAUUUAUUGGGCGUAAAGAGCUCGUAGGCGGUUUGGUUAGUCAGGCGUGAAAUCUCCACGCUCAACGUGGAGGGGCCACCUGAUACUGCCAUGACUUGAGUCCGGUAGGGGAGUGUGGAAUUCCCGGUGUAGCGGUGAAAUGCGCAGAUAUCGGGAGGAACACCCGUAGCGAAGGCGGCUCUCUGGGCCGUGACUGACGCUGAGGAGCGAAAGCGUGGGGAGCAAACAGG